GCCACCUUAGCUCAGCUGGUAGAGCAAUGCUUUCGUAAAGCAGAGGUCCCCGGUUCGAUCCCGGGAGGUGGCU
rnacentral:tRNA from 1 species